rnacentral:rRNA from 1 species
ACGAACGCUGGCGGCGUGCUUAACACAUGCAAGUCGAACGGAAAGGCCCUGCUUUUGUGGGGUGCUCGAGUGGCGAACGGGUGAGUAACACGUGAGUAACCUGCCCUUGACUUUGGGAUAACUUCAGGAAACUGGGGCUAAUACCGGAUAGGAGCUCCUGCUGCAUGGUGGGGGUUGGAAAGUUUCGGCGGUUGGGGAUGGACUCGCGGCUUAUCAGCUUGUUGGUGGGGUAGUGGCUUACCAAGGCUUUGACGGGUAGCCGGCCUGAGAGGGUGACCGGCCACAUUGGGACUGAGAUACGGCCCAGACUCCUACGGGAGGCAGCAGUGGGGAAUAUUGCACAAUGGGCGGAAGCCUGAUGCAGCAACGCCGCGUGCGGGAUGACGGCCUUCGGGUUGUAAACCGCUUUCGCCUGUGACGAAGCGUGAGUGACGGUAAUGGGUAAAGAAGCACCGGCUAGCUACGU